CUGGGAUGUGAGGGGACACAGGUAGACAGGGUGCUUUGGCAGCUAAUGAUUUCAGAAAGGAAAAAAAAGGGGACAGUUAAAGCAAAAUGAGUUUCCUUCACCAGUUAUAUAAGGACAAGUAUGUAGGUUGCUCUGAAAGUAAUGCCUCCUCUUUAUUUCCAUGGGAACAACAGCAGCUACAAAAGGUGCAACAAUGCUAUUUGAUGAAGUAAAUUCUCAGCUACAAAAUGCAUUUUUUUUUUUUCAGCACAGUCAUCUCCAUUAGCUAUUCGUUUUCCCCAGCAAUAAGCAAGAACCUGCAUGCCAUGCCUGUAAAAAUCUGCAUGGCUGUCUGGAAUGUGUCUUGCCUUUCAAAUCACUGUCUCCACUGCUGAAAUGCACCACCUACCACUCACUGUGCUCACAUCCACUGUCUGGUCCCCAUAAACAUUCAGCAAAAGUUGAUGAAUAUCAAUGGGUGCAAAUUUUUCCACAUGGAGGAAUUCAGCGACACACCUUUGCUUUCUGUGCACUUCCACGUCAGAUGCCAUUGUGUCACACUGCCCCUCCACUGCCAUCUGUUGCAUGGCAACAACAUUGGUGAGAAUGUUCAACUUCUACUGUCACAUCACCAACAUCCACCUCUGAAAUCGUAAGCCAACAUAAUAAAAUAGGAGGCCAUACUUUUGGAACAUCCCUUGUAGAUAGGUGGUUACCAGUAUACUGAGGAAAUUGAUGUACUUGGUAGAAAAUCUGUCUGUUAAGAAAUAGGAAUGAAAAUUCAAUUAACAGACACUUAACAUGGUUGGAACAGUGAAGUUGCUUUUGCAUUUAUCUGAAGAACAAUUAUAGGGGAAGUUGAUUGAGAAAGCAGUAAAUGCAACAGAGAACAGUUUACCAAAUGGGGGUGGGGAGAGGAAAGGGAGGGAAGAGGUUAAAUAAGAUCAGGGAAGUCACCCAAAUGACACACAGCCAUAGGUGUUAAGUAUACAGAUACUGAAUAAUUUUCUCCCUCUGAUGACUGUUUGAAAAUCAACUAAGGGAAGCUGUGGAAGUACUGAAAUAUGGAAGGUAAGGAAAUAUAAUGCUGCUUUUCUAUAAAUGGAAAUUAGACCAAUUCUAGUAAGACACAAGCUAUAUAUCUGGAUCCCAUUGUUCUCCAAAUGGUGGAGCCCACAGGGAGAUCCCUCCUUUGCCCUCCGUCUUUCUCAAGGAGAAAGGAAGGAGUACCUCUGCCUUUGAAGACCAAGCUUCCAUUCAGUGAUGCAUAAGCUUUGGUGUAAGUGCUUACUUGGAUCUACCCCCUUGAGAAUAAUUUCUGAGUAUCUCAACCCAGGCUCUUGGCAAUGGAAUAGAAACACGCGGAUACACAGGAGGAAGAGAUGAAUGGGAUAUAAAUACUAUUUUGCUUGAUUUUGAACAUCUAAGAUUAGCACAGAAAAUGCAGAUGAUUUGAAAACUCAUGGAGUGAAAAUAUAGUGGUACAGCACAUCACAGUUUCAAGAGUAAAGCUAAAAAUCUGCAGCAAUAUUAAAAAAAAAAAAAGAAAGAGCAAAAAUAAAAAUAACCCAAUUCUUCAGGCAGGAUGCCAUUGAUUUUGUGUUCUGUAUGCUGAAUAAACAGGGGAGAUACAACAGAAAUCAUGAGAUUCAUCUGCUAUUUUUAAUAUACAGCAAUGAAUUUUCAUCCUUAAAGUGCCCCAGUGGGGGGUAGAUAUGAAUGUGGAAUAAAGGGAUGCACAGAUAUUCAGAAUGAUGAGCAGCUCAACAAAAACAUGCAAUCUACUGGCAUUAUGAAAAAUAUCAGGAUAUUAUUAAUUGUGGUAAUUUUUUCCUGUUUCAAGAGAGAGCUCUUCUCUAUUGGGAAUGUAAAUAUCCUCACUGCAGCUUUAUUAAAGGGUUUCAUAAACUAAGUUUCAUUAAAGGGAAGAUCUGCAGCAUUUCAUCAUGCCUCUAAUGUCUCGUUUGGACAGAUCUGCUCCUUGAUCUAAGCUUCUGAUACUUUUAUAUACCUGAUUCAGGGAAGCAUUUGUUUAUUCAGAAGUAACCCUUAGUAUUAACUGUAGACAUAAGCGAUUUUCUAAAUGGGAGAGGCCUCAAAGAUGUAUUUAAAUUCUUGCUUGGCUCUGGGGUUGCUUGCAGCCCUUUCUGGUGCUGUGAGACAAAACAACUGUCUCUAUUACUGAGGUGUGAGCUGUGGACUGUCAUAAUUUUAGCUGGAGGUGCCCUUCACACUUAUAUUCUGAAUACCCUUGCAUACCCGGAGCCCAGAGCUAAUGGAACCUAGCCUUUACUAGGUUUGUUUCCUUUUCUUUUCACCUAAGGGUGUAUGAAAAAAAAAAAAAAAAAAAAAAAAGCAUGCAUACAUAUUUUUUGAUUGGCUAUUGAAGAAAAGUAAGUAUGUAUAGGUCUGUCUUGGGAGCAACUACGUGUUGAGGGAAUAGCGCUGUUCUCAGGAGGAGACUUUCAUUCCGUAGUGCUCUGCUCCCAUGGAGUAACAGAACUGACCUCUGCUGAGCCAGAUUUCCCUGCCUUGAAUUCCAAAUUCCCCUUCCUUGAAACCAGUAGCAAAACCCACUGGGUAUAUCAACCAGCAUGCAUGCAAAAUAAUUUAUACCAGUUUUACUUCUGUCUGUGAUAUCCCUUUCUUAUGGAAUCACAAAUGUGGAGAAAAAGAAGCUUAAUCUAUCCUUUGGUAUCCUGAUCUGUUGGAACCCCCCUAAAACGUAUGAGGACAGAUUGGAGUGAAAAGGAAGCUGUAUCUUAUUGGUGCUAAACUAGCAUAACAUUCCCGAAUGGUUUUUUUCGCAACUCAAAUGCAGUGGAGGAUGUGGAGUCCAAUCUAGAGGACAAAAUUCACCCCCAUUGGCAAGCUGGUGAAUGCCAAAACUCUCUGCUCUCUUGAGGCACCGCCUGCGUCAGGAGGAGGUAAGGGACGUUGCUGUCAGAUUAGGCUGACAUCUGCUGGGGAGAGCCCCAAGGCAGGGAGGCAGUGGAGGCCCAGGCUACCAGCCCAGCUGAUUGAAGGCCAACCCUGCUCUGAGGCUCAGAGCAGGCUGGGGGAACCCACCUGUGGGGUAUGGGGUCCUCCUGCUGCAGAAGACUGGACCCUGGCAGCCAUGCAGACAAGUUCAGGGAAGGGGGACACCUCUGCUUUUGUCUCUCCUUUUUCUCUAAUUUCCCUUCCACUUGCCAUCUCUUGUUCUCCUUGAAGUGUUUCUCCCUCAGCCACAGGAAACCUCACCCACUCUACCUAUUUUUGCCCACUGGCAUGUGGGCAGGUAUACCUGCCCUGUAUGCCUUAGCUCAGCACUGCAUCAUGGAGCAAGCACUUUUGUUCAGAGCUCUUUUUAAAGGUAAUAAUAAUAAUAAUAAUAAUAAAAAGAGAGAGAGAGAGAAAAAAAAAAGAAAAAGAAAAAAAAGAAAGAGAAGAAAAGAAACACGCACUCUGAAGCCUGAAUAGCAGUGUUUCUGUCAUCUGUUGUCAUGACACACAGCUGACGUGGGAACACGACAGUAAGGCUGACUGCUAGAUGGGUUUAAUUUUGGUGCAGAAAUUUGCUAGAAGAAGCUUUCAAAAAUAUCUCUGGGUGGGAGGAAAACAGGUGGGUGCUGGUUGUGUGUACGUAGCAGGAGGAAAUAGUUGUCAAUCUUACCCAAGCAUUACUCCACAUCCAUCAGCCCUUUGGUACCCUCUCUACUCAAUGAGGGAAACAAGUGAUGCUGUAUCUCGUUGUUCCUCUCUCCUGCUACUUUUGGAGAAAGUGCUGGUGGAACAGAGUGCAGAGAGAGAACAUAGAAUGACUGAAUAGCAACAUGGUUGGCUUGGUCAAAGUACACAUUGUUUGCUCUAUCUUGGUAAAGACAUCCGUACUCAGCACAGGAAGACAAUGUCAGUAUCAUCCAUUGAAGCCAAAUAAUGGUGAGAUCCUUUCAGGAGAGACUUGUGGGCAACUGAGUCUGAAAUGACAGCUAAUGUUGGAGAAUGGCCCUCAUGGUGAGUAGUGAAUGAUCUGUAGGAAAACCGAGAUGUAGUUUCUGUGGUUGUGGUUGUCCAUCUGGGUGAGUGAGUGGACUCAGUAUCAUGGGUGGACUUCUCAGCACUGUGUUUUCAUUUCCCAUACACAUCUUUGUUUCAAAAAGGUCUCAUUUUUCCCCUUCAGUAUCUGUAGGCAAUUCAUACUGGCUUCUAGAUGUUCCUAAGCAGUCACAGACUUUGCUGGCUACCAAAGAACGUAGGUGUCCAGAAAUAUUCUCUAAAAAUCACUCUGCUAACCCAUUUGAAGCUCAUUUUCCUCUUCUACAAACUACUCUAUAUUAGCACAUUUCUCAUCUCUUAGUCUUUGUCAUCUUGACUAAUGACUUUACUCAUCUGUACUAGUUUACUCACUCGUUUCAAUACUUUGCUAGAUCACAGGAACAUUUUGUGACUUAAUUAAAUUAUCAGUUAGAGCUCAGAGGUCUUUGAAUGAAAACUGUUAUGUUCUGUAACAGCAGAAUACUAUGAUUACAGUUCUGGAAAAC
ensembl:lncRNA